CUGGCAUCAGCACUGGCACAUUUUAUGGAAGAAAGAAAUACAGCUCUUUGUCAGAGAGAAUACUUUCCAGGGAGAUUCAGACAUAGAGUUCUCUGAAGAUGAGAGUCCAGUGAGCAAGACAGGAGAGGGUGAGAACCCAGAUAAGGAAUCAGAUGAAGAUGACCAAGACACAGAACUAGUGGAAGUCGACCAAGACCCAGGGCCAGCUGAAGUGUGCCGUAGUCCUCUAUGGGCCAAAACUACCAUGUUCUUGCCUGUGUUAGAAGAGCACAGAAUUGCAGAAGAUGGUCCCCCUGUAACCCGUAGUAAUUGGAGCCCACAGCAGUAUUUCCAGCAGUACAUUGACAAUGAACUAAUUCAGGACCUGUCCUUCAUCAACCAACGUAUGGUACAGGAUUCAGGCUUAAGCACAACACCAGAAGAAAUCAAGACCUUUUUAGGAAUCUCGAAAAUAUGGUGCGAUCCACUUGCCUGAAAUGGUUGCCAGUCCAAAUCCUUCCAGAUGCAGAAUGCCUGGGUGCACUAGUAGAACCUAUGUGAGAUGUGUUAAAUGUGACAUGUUCCUAUGUGUCUCCAAAAAGUCACAGUGCUUCCUCACAUAUCACAAAUGAAUUGGUAUUUGUGAACUGGCAAACCAAAUGUUCAUCAUAGGGCUAUGGCCAGUGAAAAGUUGAAUGAGUUGUAUGUGUAUUUGACCCUGACUGAGUUGUAUCCUAUGUUUUUGUGAAGUUUUUAUGCAGUUUGUGUGUGUUGUGUUGAUAUCCAGGCAGAUUUUUAAUUCUGUUGAUGUUUUAGGGUCGGGAUGAAUUAAGUCCCGUUGUACACUACAGUUCACAUUAUAAAACAUUAAUGAAAUUAUGAAAAAAUCUAAAAUCUUUGCAAUGUGUUUUUUUACCACCCCAACACAUCCUUUAUAUAAAAAAAAUCUAAACACCUUUCCCCCCCCCCAGGUCUCAGGAGGAUAUAGGUGGUGCAUUGUGGGAUUGUUGACGGUGAUGUACGCUGUCUGCUGUUACCUAACUGCCAACAUUUUUCGAAUUUACUCUUGUUGAGAUAAAUGAAGUUUAAAUAAUGCUGAUUUAAUAACCAUGUAUUCUUAUGUUUUUGUUUUAUUAAAUUGUAUGCUGCAGCCAGGUUAGGGAAAUAUGAAUACACAGAUUGAAUACAAUAACCAUAAAAAGUUUAGAACUCCAUACAUUACACUCAGACUUUACACCUGGCUGAGAUAGAGAGACAGGAUUAAAACCCCACAAUUAACAUACAAAUGAAACUGCCUCCUAUACAGCACAAAGAGACCUUCUGUCUCCAGCCCCCUGAUGUUCUAGUCUAGGUUAGGACAAUAAAAUGUAAAUUACUGUAACCUGGUUAAGAUUUCACACCUGUAUGCAAAUAACCUGUUGAUCUAUGACUGAGAGUAAGAGCAUGCUCUUCUUCAUGGUACAGCGAAAACAAAGAGAUUCGUCCAACAUGUCACCAUGCCAACAAAGAACCAAUAAGGAAGGGUUUUACUCACGAGAGUGAAAAGUAACCGCCCCUGUGGCGGGAGUAUUAAAAACAAUGUUCGAUCUUGAUUCGGGGCGAAUAUUUUGUGGAAGCUCGAGGGUUGAGCAAAAUAUUUGACCGCUGC
ensembl:lncRNA